rnacentral:lncRNA from 1 species
ACAAACGUUGUUGUUGUUUGACCUCUCUGGCCACAGAGGGCGCUGUAUUCAACUUAAGAUAGGACACAACUGUCGUAAACUGAACUGUCGAGAAACUGAACUUCUGCGUAACGUUACUAAAAAAAGGUCUUGCCGCUCUUUUAUACAAGCUGAGUUUUGGUCGCACACAUGACCAAACGGAGAGCAGAGAACAUUUUGCCUCCCGAAAUCCCUCAUAAAAGAUGUUUUCGUUCUCUCUCCGACAACGACAAACCGGUCGGAGGCGUGAACGUGAUCCAAAACGCAAUUCCAUCCUCGUUAUUAACGCUGGCUGGACAACGCUGCAGGAAAAGACCGAGCUAUCGCGAAGAUUCACUGGAUACAGAUAACCUACCGAGAAAGGUGGCUGCAAACAGGGUUAAUUCAGUGCUGGCAGACAGGAACACGUGCCAGUCUAGAACAUUCGAGGAUGGUGCUGGGAGACCUGUCACGCGACGGUCAUCUCGCGCGCUUCAGACGCACUCAAAUAAACAGACAGACGAAGAAAAUAACAUUACUGCAGGAGACAAGGUGAUGCACACAGAUGAGGACCUCUCUCCGUUCAAUUCCUUCCAGUUCUGGCGGGAUCCACUGCCUGAGUUGGAUCUCGCUCUCCUGGAGACUGAACCCUCAACUGGGUCCCACAUAGCUUCUUCCACCAAAGACUUGGAGGCGAUGGAAACAUGAGGAGAUCCUCAAUGCACUGUGACAUUCUUGUUAAGAUGUUGUCUAGGUGUUGCCAAAUUACCUGACUGGAUAUGAUGAGAUGAUUCCCUCUGGUCUGCACUAGAUGAACAUAUAAACAAAGCCUUGUGCUGUGAACAGCAUGAAGGCCUCCAGCAGAAGCUUCCAUUCUGGUAGAAACACGUGGUGGUCACAUGACCUCACAUUCCUGUCCUGCAGAGGUUAAGUGUUCAGAAGUGUGAAAGCAUAUCGGACUAAUCAUGAGUGUAUUUUUUUUAUUUCAGUAUAGCUGUGAAAGCAAGUGUGUCAAGUGUAUGUUCUUUUGCUUGGACUGAACCUGUGUUUGCUUUAUGUUUAUGGUGUUCAGUAGGUAUAAGCCACUUUUAUUCUUUAGGUGUUUCGUUUUUUUUUUUUUCAACUUGUUCUUUUUCUCUGAACAACUUUAUUAUUUUACUACUAUUUUACGGUACUUCUGAUCUUAGUAGAUACAGCAAGUGCUUUGAACGUUCCAGUGGCGUAAUUGCAGUGUUUUUGAAAUUGCUCAACAGCAAUAAAAUGUCUUUUUUUAUACUGAUAUUGGUUUGCAAUAUCCUUGGUGAUCUGUCUUAUUUCAUGAUUCUUACUUUUUAAGAGGUAAAGGACU